AAAGUAAUUAACGGAUGAGUGCCUAAACGGAAAUAUUUCAGAAAAUAACGGAUGAAUGAGUAAAGUGUGUAACAGAUCUGAUUCAUACAAAAAAUCAACAUGGUAACUCUGACAACUUGAAGAAUGCUUUGCUUUGGAGCAGUGCCCUAUAAGAAGAGCUACGACACCAAGUAAAAUGCCUGACGUCAGCUCACAAUCAGCAGAAAUAAAUUUGUAACUUUAUUCAAAUCUUAUUUACUGUGAAGACUAAGUAAUUUUCGAAUAAAUCGACCUGAAAUCCCAAAAUUAGGAUAGAAAUGUCUUCAUGUAGCGCUGUUAAAUGCUCCGGAGACAAAGAUGCCACGCUUUUUUUCCUUUCCGAAGGAUAAGAGUAUAUGGAUACUACGAAUGAAUAGGGCCAAUUGAAAGCCUUCCACUCAUUAUCGGUUGUGCUGAAAGCACUUCACAAGAAGCCAAUUCCAAAAAUUAGACCACUCCAAACGGAUAAAAAAGCUUUGUUUUGGGACUAUUCAGCCAUGUGAAGCCUAAUGUGCAAAGAGAAACACAGAAUUCUAGAAAGUCAGAUGAGGAAGGAGAAGAGCUAGGCAACAUGAAAUUUGGUUCCCAUGAUCCUCAUUUGGAAGACUCUGCAGCAGAUAAUAACAAAGGCUAUCUUCUUUCUCUAGAAAAUUUAUCAACUAUUGAGGAGGAAAAAAAUUUUGGGUACAAAAUCUGAGGAAAGUUUUCCAGCACAUCCUGAGGAAUAUAUUCAUAUUAAAAAAUAUCAAGAGCUUUUGCAAAAAUUGAAAAAGGUAAAAGACAUGAAUUACUCUCUUCAAAUUCAACUAGAAGUUCAAAGGGAGAAGAUUGUUGAGCUGAAGAAAAAAGUUCAUCAAAGAGAUACUAGGGUACGCAAAUACGAAGAGAAAUAUGUUUAUCUGAAAAAUUCCCUCAUUAAUAUUUUCAACUCAGACCAGAUAAAUCUAUUGAGUCAGAUCUCUAAAGUGAGGUCAUGGUGAGAUAAGACGAUUAAGAAAUAUCUCCAAUUGAGGUUAGCCUAUGGCACAAGUGGCUAUCAAAUGUUAAUUGGUCAUGGUUAUCCACUUCCAAGCAAUCGGACUCUACAGCGAAACCUGAAGCACAUCGAUUUUCAACCAGGAAUCCUCCAUAUUGUAAUGAGGCUUCUUCAACUAAAGACCCAACCCAUGGAAGAUAGCAACGAGUAUUCUGGUAUUGUGAUGAACAAAAUGUCGAUUAAAUCAACUUUCGAAUAUGAUGUCGGUGGCCAAUUAGUAAGAGGUUACGAGACCCUUCAGCCGUCAAGUGAUGAGUGGGUCACACAUGCUCUAGUAUUUGCAUUAGUUGGAGUCAAAACUCACUGGAAGCAGGUCGUUACCUACCAUUUUACUGGAUCGAGUUUCAAUCAAAAAGAUAUCGCCUUGGCUU
rnacentral:lncRNA from 1 species